AUGACAGCAAACACUAGCUGGUGCCCGGGGCACACUCGGUGACCCCAUGCGGGGACCGAUUUCACCGAUCGGUGAGGUGCUGCCGGUGCAGCGGGGAGCCAAAAACGGGGAGGUUGAUCGGUGAGGAGGCACCGAAGAGAGGGGAGGAGAGAGAAGGUGGGCCCCAUUCAUCAACCAAUGAAAAAUUUUCUUUUUCUUUUUUUUUAAUAAAAAACCAAGUCACCUAAGAGGGGAGUGCCGCCAUCAAUUUAGGGUGUGAGGGGAGUUGACGUGGCACACGAGGAUUGGUUAUACGUAAGAGAGGGGACUCCCCUCUUAUGGGAGUGCCCCUUACACCCUAAUCACGAAUCUUGACGUUAAUCCAAAACCAUUCAUCUAGUUUUUUUUUUUUUUGGGAAACUUUAUCAACUACCAAACUUAGAGAUCGAGACCUUUAACAUAUAUACACACAACCGCAAAACUGUUUUCGACACAUCCCUAUCUCUCGCACACUCUCUCUCGGUAAUAUAGCCUGCCGAAGAUUGAAGUCCACCGGAGUUACAAAACGCCACCGGAGUUCUCCCAGAAUAAUCGAAGCACGCCGGACAACUUUCUUUCUCUCCCGCUGUCGGAUAAUCGUUUCCGUUCGUUCGGUUCCUCAUCUUUCCUUGUGCAUUAUCU
rnacentral:lncRNA from 1 species